rnacentral:telomerase_RNA from 1 species
CCGUCGAUGCCGCGGGUGCCCGCCACGCCAGGGCUGCUACAUCAGCUCUUCAACCCUAAAUAAUCGGUGCUCGCCUCCCCAGGCGUCCCUUCCCUUCCCGGGGCUUUCUGAUGUCUUCCCCAUGCUUGCCUCCAAGCUUAAGCAAUGCUCAAAGCAGACGUUCAAAGUGUCGACGCUGCUCUGCGGGUUGGCAGGCACAGCCCCCCACACGCCGGGACUGUGAGCAGCCUUGUGCUCACCCCUGCCAUGUUCCAAGAGCCAGCAAAGGGUGCUGCAACUUUUU